CAGUGCUGGGAUUGGACGGACAGGAGUUCUCAUCACUAUGGAGACAGCAAUGUGUCUCAUUGAGUGCAAUCAGCCUGUUUAUCCAUUAGACAUUGUACGAACCAUGAGAGAUCAAAGAGCCAUGAUGAUCCAAACACCUAGUCAAUACAGAUUUGUAUGUGAAGCUAUUCUGAAGGUGUAUGAAGAAGGAUUUAUUAAACCUUUACAAGCAUCACCACAUAAAUAAAGAGCAAAAAACCUAGGAUACAAAUUGAGGAACCCUGUUCUCUAAAUAAUGAACUGGCAGCAUUCUUUGUGCCAUAAUACUGCUUGCAGGAAAUGAUAGUGAAGUACAGCAAAGAAUUGACAAAGGACUUUGAAAACUUCAGCACUGUUGCACUUUACAUUGAAACAAAAUCAGUCUCUGAAACUCUUCUAAUCUUCAUCUGUUUGAAGACUUUAUUUUCGUGCUUUGCUCCGAACAAACCAUAAACUGAAAGAACUAAUUGUGUUCAGGGUAAUCUACGAGAUUUCAUUGUAGUGCCAUAUACUGCGCUUCUGGUUGAAUUGCUACAAACAAGGCUUGGAAUUAUUUCACUCUGUUUUACACCCAUGUCUCUUAAAAAUGAAAAAAAACAAACGAAAAAAUACACUAAGCCAUGGUCUUUCUCCAGUGCUAGGUUUAUUUACUAUGUACAGACUCUCACUGUUUUGUUUUUUACAACAUUAGCAAUAUUGCCGAUACUAGAUAGAUACACACUGCCUACUGAUGCAGCACACUUUGUCCUACACCCUUCUUAGAGACCAGCUGGUUGUUAGAGGAGAGCUGGCGUCCGUGUUAACCCAGCAGUAGCUGCAUAAUGCCCACUUACCAGCAUCUUGUUUUAAAAAAAAAAAAAAAAAGAAAAGAAGAAAAAAAAAGGAAAAAGGAAAAAAGAAAAGAAAAAAGAAAACAAUAAUAAUAAAAACUUUUAAAAAAAAAUAAAUAAACAGCAUUUCUUUGACACAGCUUGUGUGUCAUACACUGGUGUAUUCUGAUUCAUGUGACUUAAGAUUACGUGAUGGGAGCUAGUGCAUGCAUUGUCUUAACCCCUUAAGUGCCUUGAGACUUACAGCGUACAUCCAGUGAAAGGCACUCAUGAUUCUGUGGGGGUGGUCUUGUCCUGUUGUGUUUAUCUUAAUGGGUUCAGAUUUUAAAAAACGGCCCUUGGUGCUUGGAGUAUGUUACUGCAAGGGGUCAUGGAAAUACCAUUCCCUCUUUCCUUAUACAAUUACCUGCGUGCUACGCUCAGUAGCAAAAGCACCUCUGCCAACUUAAUGAAUGAGCAUUGUUUGCUGCUGUGUUGUAAUUACGUGAAAAAUCUGACACAUUCCUUUAUUCCUUACAACUAGUAACUUACUAGCAGCCUGCUAUGAAAUGCUAGUAGGUCAUUAGAAGCUGACACUUUGUUUUAUCCUUUUAUUGAGAAUAGCUGUCUUACUCAAUUAGAACAUAACUCUUUAAUAGCACUGAUAAUUAAGUUGAACUUACAAUCAGAUGUGAUUUAAUUCCAUUAUUUGCUAACCAAGUAUUUUUUUUAAAUCCUCAUAGUUGAUUUCAAGCCAUUUUCGUAUAGGUCUGCCUUUUAUUUUUCUAAUUGUUAGGGGAGGGUGGGAAGGGAGGCAAGCACUAUGAUGCUGUCCCACAACUCCUUUAAUUCCGUGAUGGUCCCAGUCACCCUCUGUCAUGCUUGUGCAAAGUUAUUCCAGUUGGUAUGGGUUGCCUCUUAUUUAAGUAGGUAUGAGAUUUGUAACAAAUGUCUGAUACAGUAUCUGAGCUCACUCUAAAGACACAGAUAGGUCCCAGUUUUUAAUGUUUUUCCAGUGUAGGAGAAACCCAAGUCAGAAGCAAAGUGUCCGGUGUAAUAUACUGUAAGAAAACAAAAUCAGUCACUUCUUUGACUGCCCUGCAACAACAUAACUCUGUGUCCUCUAUUUAAAAACCUUAAUUUAUUGGUUUCCUGAAAAUGUCUAUCCAGUAAUUUUUGUUAUAAGCUAUAUAAAGCAUAGAGCUGGAAUGGAAAUUUCUACACUAAAGUUUUUAACUAUUGAAUAAUUAUAUAAUAUACGGUGUUCUGUGGACAUCUGAAAGAGAUCAGCUAUGAAAUAUUAAGUAAAAAGGGAUUCAGGCAAAGUGAAAUCCUGGCUUACGACUUAGUAAUACACAUGAACCACAAUGCCAAAUGGAAAAUAUAGUUUUAAUUAUUUUUAGAAUACAAAAUAAUACUAGAUGGCCUGUGGCCCUGUUACUUAUAUUUCUAGAUUUGAUGCCUAAAUCAGUGUUUUUCCUGAAAAAUGAAUCUUACAAGUAUCUCUGGAUCUGAUAAAUGGAAAAAGAGUGAUAAAGUAGCUUUAAUCUCAGUUUCAUUUUAAGCCGCUUGCAACAACAACAACAAAAUCUUCUGUAUUAAAUUUAAAGCUUUAACUUUCAUAUGAUGAGAUUAUUAGCUGAGAUGCCAGGUAACUGGAAGCUUAAAGUCAGCACUUAAUAUCUAAAAUGUAAAAUAAUUCAUCCAUUAUAUCAAGUACACUUUUUUCACAGCCAGAUUGUAAAGAAAAAUAUCAUUUACCCCAUUUUUUCCUGAGGGGAAUGAGAAACUAAGUUUAUAGCAACGUGAAUAGUGUUGGUAUGUCACAUAUUUAACUAUUGCUAUGUGAAGCUGCCAAAGCAGUUUGAGUUCAAAAUACCCAUUUAUACCACAAUUAAAUGUGGGAUAUUUACUGCUCAUCUGUUGUUACUGUUCUGAUUACAAAUACAGGCGAGAAUACAAACUUAGAAUCUUCCUCUGCAUUGACUUAAGCUGAUCUGCUGUUGUGUAUUAACUAGCUGCACUGGGGAAAAAAAAUUAAAAAAAAAAAGAAAGAAGCAAACUCAGCUAAUUGAUCAUCAGUUAAACAAUGGCUUUUUGGCUUCUGGAAAGCCAGCAGAAUGGGAACCAAAAGCUGCUUGGGAAAGAGAAGGCUGAAGCCUUCCUGCACCAUAAAUCAUUCACUCAGAUGUUUGUACUUGUGGUAUAAAUGGCCUUCACGAUAUUUUUAUACGGCCUAAAUGAAUAAAUAAAUAAAAUCAAAAUGCUAAAUAUUUAACUUUGGGUUAUGAAGAUCUGUAUCAUCGUUCAGACUUUCUGAAGAAGUUUUUGUAUGUUUCAUGCUGUACAAAACAUGAAUGUAUCUUUCAGACGAAAUGAACUGGAUGUGAUUGGUGUUACGACUGUUGGACUUGACGAACAAUUAUUUUCAUACCAAUUGAAUAGGAAAAAUACUGGGUGGGUGGAGAAAGAGUAUGUUUGUAACUCUUCCAUGAUAUACAGAUCCAGCUUAAAAAAAAAAAAAGAAAUAAUGAAGUUUCCGUUGUAAAUAAGAGCAAUAUUAUGAGAGUUUUUGCCAAUGUAUAACAUCGAGAUUUUUUCCUUUUCAGUUCAAAUUCAAAACUACCACAACCAUCUCUUGUUUAAAGUGGAUGUGAAGGUUUUUCUGUUAGCAGAAAAAUUUGAGGUUCUUGAGAAGGCUUUGCGUGUUUUGGGGGGCAUUUUUAACUUUUGCUAAAUAUGAAAUAAGAUGCAGGUAAAUCACCGACAGAUUGUCAGCCAAUUCCUUCUUAGAAAUGCUGCUUUAGAUAUACCAGAGAGCUGAAAACUUAAUUUAUCCUGAAUUUGAAAGCAUUUGGUGGUUUAAACAGUGUGCAUGUCUGAAGCAGUAAGCCACUGCUUUUGUAAGUUCUUUUUUAGCUCCUACUUCUGAAUAACAGUUUGGUUUUAUUACACCACAUCUAAUGCUAA